ensembl:lncRNA
CCUUCUCUUUCAGAGGCACCUUUUAUGGUGACGUGGCAGGAGCUGGUGGUGAGCGUGGAGGCCACCCUCCUCCUGCUUCCCCUGCAGCUGCUGAUUGUGCACAUCUUCCAGAUGGUCCAUGCCCCAGUCCCGGAGCCCUCUCCUGCCACCGUCAAGCCCUGGCAGCCUGGGUUGCUCCCUAAAUCCGUGACUUCCCUCACGCACGUCCAUCAGGUGGGACCCUCUGCCCCUGAGAUCUUCCGGUGGGCUCUUGGAAAACAGAGAUGCCGGGGCCUCCUUGAGAGGGGCUGGAUUGGAUGAUCCCAAGGGUCCCUUCCAGCUCUGCUGUUCCAAGAUUAUUAGGGUUAGGGUUAGCUUAGUGGUCUAGGUCUCUGACUAUGGAGCCAGAGGUUGGGAGUUCGAUUCCCCCACAGGGGCUUCCUUGAUUGGGGCUGGACUCCAUGAUUCAGAGAAUCCCUGCAGCUCUAAAUUUUUCGUGCACUCCCAAGGCUUGUCCUCAUGGGAGCUAUAUAGGAGAGAGAAAAACAAAGUGUGGUUCCUCUCCAGGUAGCCACUUGCCACUCCUAAGGAGUUUCUCUCUCUCUGUCUCUCCCCUUCCCUCUUCCUUGGCAGGAACUGAUGGAGACCCUGGGCUUCCUCUACAAGAACCGCCUCUGCCAGCACAGGGACGUAGACGGGUUCCCCAACAGUAGGCAAAACGUGCCAGAGCUGGUGGCCUUCCUGUGUGACCUUGUCAGUUCCCACCUCCAGCACUCAGAGGACCCAGAAGCCCCCCUUCAGGAGAGAUCCUGCAACCUCCACAGCUACCUCUGCCACGUGGUGAAGGACUUGGAGGCUCAGCUCCGGCGCCUGGAUUGGGACACCCUUCCUCGCCCCUACGACCAUCUGCAUGCUGCGGAUCAGUUGCACAAACUCUGGCAGAACCUGGAACAGCAACAGCAACGACAGCAACCAUCACCUCAUCCCAGCGCAGAGGAGACGUGGUAUGCAAGAGGGAGCUCCCAGCCAUUUCCCCACCUCAGUCGACCCCAGAUCAAAACCAUCAUCUGGGAAAGAAAAUCUUAAGUCAGCUGGAAGUGGGGAGCAUGUGGGUCACCAUGGGACAGUCAUCCCCAUUAUUUUGAGCCAGAGCAGACAUUGCGGAGUGAGGAUGGGGGGUUGCUGUCCAACAUCUCAGCAGCUUUAAUUGCCCCUUUGCGCUUUUCACACACUCACACACAAGCUCUCAAGGUUGCUGCAGGAAGGCUAUUGACUAAACAGAAUUAUUAGUGGUGACAUCUAUACCCUUGUGGUGAAACGCCUGAUUCUCAGGGGUGUUGGUCUCUGGCUGUGGAGCCAGAGGUUGGGAGUUCAAUUCCCCCCACCCCCCACCCCGUUGCCUCUUUGAGAGGGGCUGGACGGGAUGAUUCAAAGGGUCCCUUCCAGCUCUCCUGUUCUAAGAAAGCCUGAGGGGGCUUUCUUAAACAUUUUUGAAAUGUUUCUGAGGCCAGCUAGCACUUUUUGUUGUUGUCCACUUGCUUCUGAUUUAUGGCCACCCUACUAGGGUCUUCGUGGUGCAUGAGACAGUUGAGGGAUGGUUGACCCUCCCCCCCCCACUGAUGACUUCCCCAUAGCCAAGAGGCCAUUUGAACCGAGGGCUCCUGAGUCUUCAUCAGCAGAUCCCUCAGCGACACCACGUUGUGUCUCAAGCGUAUUUAAAGGUCUGCGGCCACAAUACAGCAUCUCCUUCCUCUAGGCCCCAUCGCUGCUGCUGCUGCUGUUUCCGCCCGCCCAGGGCCAGCCCCCAGCAGAGAAGCCUCGCCGUCGAAGGUCCAGCCCAGGGGCCCCCACCGCCUCUCUUCUGCCGCCCCCUCCCCAGGAGGUUCGGCAUCAUCUGCUGGGCUGUCUUAGGGACCCUCAGCCUCAUCGCUGGCUUCUUCACUCUGCUGUACAGCCUCCGAAUGGAUCGGAACCAGGCUGGGCACUGGGCUGUCACCAUCCUGUUGUCCACACUGCAAAACGUCUUCCUCAUGCAGCCCCUGAAGGUGGGCCGAGGCUCCGCAUUCCCCCCCCGCCCGCCGCCCAU